GCCUAUUAAAUAGGUACUAGUAUACAUUGAAUACAAAUCCAGUAUUUAAUAAUAAGUACUAGCAUUUACUGAAUACGUACUAGUAGUAUUAAAAAGAUACUAGUCAUUAUUGUAAUACGUACUAGUCAGAAAUGAGUAACUGAUAUCAAAAACAGAAUAACUACUAGUACCUAUUCAUUUGAAGAUAUCUUCCGCCUUAAAAGGAACUAGUAAGAAUGGGUUUGGAGAUAUCUUGAUUCAAACACAUUAUUGCAUAAACAUGAGUACCCCCCUCAGUCAUCCAAUCAGAGUUAACAUACUAAUGCAACGUAUCCUAGGGUAUCGAAGCAGCACUUCCGCCAUGAUUGUCGCCAUAUUUGUGUCCGACAUGGCAGUUAACAACACAUCUAAACGAGACUAAAAUAACUCGAUAUUUGGGAAAAACAUAUAUUAUUAGUUGUGAUCCUUAUUUAUUAGGCUACCUCCAAUUGUGUUUUGUCCCUUACAAUCUGCGACGCGUCUGCUAAACUUUUCUGGACAUUAAUAUUUCGCACAUAAUCUAUCGCUAUCGCCAUACAGCGGAGAGAGAAAGCAUGCAUCACAACACGUCGUUGCAGGGUGUGUGAACAACACCAAUAUGUGGUAUCUGGAGACAAAACAUCUAUUUGUGAAAACAGGACAGGUCAAUCAUUCCUAGGCUCUGAACACAAAAGCAACAUGUCCAUGGAUAGUGGUGCUGGAGGAACGGACAGUGGCGAUGGCACAUUGUUGCAACUCUAGACAAUUUGCAGCACAUAAAACUGCACAUCUGCUGAUGAGUUUACGUUCUGUUGUAAACAGCUCCAAAGUGAAGGCCAAGAAGCAGAGCCCAAAUAAAAGUGCAAUCCUGUCAGUCAUCGAAGGCCAUUCCAUCAGAUACAUGCCCAAGACUGUACUACUGGAUCUGCCAACACCUCUGACCACUCUUUAUGCAAGCCCCAGGCUUGAAAUGGAUUUGCCCACACUGCUGGAGGAGGGUGCCGAGACCUUUGAGAAGCUGCAUCUCACACCACAGCAGAUGGGGUCUAAAAAAUGAGGACACUGCCAGAGAAUCGUACCUGAGGGCGAUGCAGGACCUCCAAGCAGACCUCCACGUUGCAGCAUCUGGACUUAUAAGUAACCCAGAGGUGCCAUGGAUCGGUGGAUCACCAGAUGGUGUGGUGAUGGUGUUAUAGAUGAAGUGUCCUUUCAGUGCAAAAGACCGCACCCUACAUGAAUGUGUAAAAGAGUCAAGGUUCUGUCUGAGGAAGACUCAAGGUUCUGUCACUGAGGAAGGUGUAAUGAGCCUAAAGCUUAAUCACAGUUACAUGCAUCAAGUGCAAGCCCAAAUGUGUGUAGCAGAGGUAACAUACUGUGAUUGUCAAGAACUAUUUAUACAGCGCAUCCCGUUUGAUGAUACAAAAAAAACAAUGUCACAUGUCAAACAAUAGCUGUCAAAACUAAUUUCUUACUGUGUUUGCAACUUACUUUGUGACCCAUUUUACUGAGAUGACAAAUCUGCCAAAUGUCUCUUAUACAUGUACUGUAUGUUAAAGAUGAUGUUUAAGUAAAAUGAAGCAUUAACUUUGUCUGUAGUACAUAUUCAGAAAAUGAAAAAAUAAACAAAAUUCAGAAAUAAAUUCAGAGUACUUAGAACCUACAUUUUUUAUCCUUAUGGUUAUGUAUUUGUGUACAAAUUCAACUGACAACACUGAAACAUACAUAUUAAAAUAACAUAGAUUGCACAGAAAACAACUGUAUAUAUAAUAAUUGGUUCUGCAUUGUAGUUCAGAGUAGUAUUUAAACAAAUCAUAGGAAUCAAACAUGAAAAAGUCAUAAAUAUGACUAAUAAAUUAUUACUGUAAGAUGGAACAUUCAUCCAUGUUACAUUGUGGUAAGCAAGUACUGUCUGUCUAUUGUGUGGGGACAGCGGAUAGCCAAAUAUUACAAAGAGCACAACAAACUGUCACCAUCUUGUCAAGUGAGGUAGGUUGUCCUUUAGUGGCCCCUUCGGUGUGGUGGUCUUAAGGGUGGUGUAUUUGUUUCUGACCGGGCCAAUGACUUUCCACAUGGAUCUGGUUUCAAAAUGUAAUCUGGUAUGGUUUAAUCAUUUAAAAAUGACAUGGUAAUAUUAACUUUUGGAAAUUUCCAAUGUGGUUAACCAUUAAACCGAUAAUUGUUCCAUCUCUAAUAGAGACCCACAAAGACCAUUAUAAUUUCCAUCACAAUCAAUAAAAUUCUCAUUGUAACCAUUAAAUCCAGUAGAAUUUCUAUAACGUCUCUAUGUUUUAUUUUAGCACGGAUGUCUGUAUCUCAUUAGAUUUAGCUGAAUAUUCAAUUUUUGUAUUUUGCCUCAAUAAGUCUUCAUUAUUUAAUAUAUGUUUGAAUAAAUAGUAUAGGGGC